UAGGAUUCCCUUAGUAGCUGCGAGCGAAUAGGGAAAAGCUCAGCACCGAAUCCCGUGGCCGAUACCGGACGCUGGGAAAUGUGGUGUUAGGGAGGAUCCAUUUAUCUCGAGGUUGUGCGGUGCGUCCAAGUCCUUCUUGAAUGGGGCCACAGCCCAUAGAGGGUGCCAGGCCCGUAGUGACCAUUGCCAAUUGCGAGAGGGUCUCUCCUCAGAGUCGGGUUGCUUGAGAGUGCAGCCCUAAGUGGGUGGUAAACUCCAUCUAAAGCUAAAUAUGACCACGAGACCGAUAGCGAACAAGUACCGUGAGGGAAAGUUGAAAAGCACUUUGAAGAGAGAGUUCAAGAGUACGUGAAACCGUUCAGGGGUAAACCUGAGAAACCCGAAAGGUCGNNNGGAGAAAUUCAUNCGUGUUUCGAUAUUAGCNAUAGAUNAUUGUAUGACAAAUGAGGUACGCCAAAUUUGCAUCUUUUGUCUUGUUGAACUAAUAUUGAAUGCGUGCACUUUUCUCCUAGUAGGACGUCGCGAUCCGUUGAGUGUCAGUCUAAGGUUCAUAAUGGAGACUAUCUAAAUAGUUUUAUUACUAACUUUGGAUAGACUUAUGAUUUACCCGGCUGGCUCGCUCGACCGGAUAUAGAUGGUGCGGAGCCGCAACAAUUNUGAAUUUGCGUUCAGCCUAUAGCAAGUAUUACGUAUGGAUUAUAUAAUAUCAGUAAUCGGACCUAGUGCCGAUAUUGGUACCAAACGACUGUUGCCUAUAGUGUUCUUGAACAGACUCUGAUAUAUGAAACACCGAUCUGCGGC
rnacentral:rRNA from 1 species